rnacentral:sRNA from 1 species
GCCGGGUGUGGUGGCACAUGCCUGUAAUCCCAGCAGCUCAGGAGGCUGAGGCAGGAGGAUUACGUGUUCAAAGCCAGCCUCAG